rnacentral:rRNA from 1 species
CUACGGAGGAUCCGAGCGUUAUCCGGAAUCAUUGGGUUUAAAGGGUCCGUAGGUGGAUGGUUAAGUCAGAGGUGAAAUCCUGCAGCUCAACUGUAGAAUUGCCUUUGAUACUGGUCAUCUUGAAUUAUUGUGAAGUGGUUAGAAUAUGUAGUGUAGCGGUGAAAUGCAUAGAUAUUACAUAGAAUACCGAUUGCGAAGGCAGAUCACUAACAAUCAAUUGACACUGAUGGACGAAAGCGUGGGGAGCGAACAGGAUUAGAUACCCUGGUAGUCCACGCCGUAAACGAUGGAUACUAGCUGUUCGGACCUCGGUCUGAGUGGCUAAGCGAAAGUGAUAAGUAUCCCACCUGGGGAGUACGUUCGCAAGAAUGAA